CAGCACCUCAAGUGGUCAGGAUGAUUAUUGGGCCUAAAGCAUCCGUAGCCGGCGCUGUAAGUUUUCGGUUAAAUCUGUACGCUCAACGUACAGGCUGCCGGGAAUACUGCAGCGCUAGGGAGUGGGGGAGGUAGACGGUACUCGGUAGGAGGGGGUAAAAUCCUUUGAUCUAUUGAUGACCACCUGUGGCGAAGGCGGUCUACCAGAACACGUCCGACGGUGAGGGAUGAAAGCUGGGGGAGCAAACCGGAUUAGAUACCCGAGUAGUCC
rnacentral:rRNA from 1 species